rnacentral:rRNA from 1 species
UACGUAGGGUGCAAGCGUUAAUCGGAAUUACUGGGCGUAAAGCGUGCGCAGGCGGUAAUGUAAGACAGUUGUGAAAUCCCCGGGCUCAACCUGGGAACUGCAUCUGUGACUGCAUUGCUGGAGUACGGCAGAGGGGGAUGGAAUUCCGCGUGUAGCAGUGAAAUGCGUAGAGAUGUGGAGGAAUACCGAUGGCGAAGGCAGCCCCCUGGGCCAAUACUGACGCUCAUGCACGAAAGCGUGGGGAGCAAACAGG